AUACGUAGGUGGCAAGCGUUGUCCGGAUUUAUUGGGCGUAAAGGGAACGCAGGCGGUUUUUUAAGUCUGAUGUGAAAGCCUUCGGCUUAACCGGAGAUGUGCAUUGGAAACUGGAAGACUUGAGUGCAGAAGAGGAGAGUGGAACUCCAUGUGUAGCGGUGAAAUGCGUAGAUAUAUGGAAGAACACCAGUGGCGAAAGCGGCUCUCUGGUCUGUAACUGACGCUGAGGUUCGAAAGCAUGGCUAGCGAACAGGAUUAGAUACCCUGGUAGUCCAUGCCGUAAACGAUGAAUGCUAGGUGUUGGAGGGUUUCCGCCCUUCAGUGCCGCAGCUAACGCAAUAAGCAUUCCGCCUGGGGAGUACGACCGCAAGGUUGAA
rnacentral:rRNA from 1 species